CGGACGGGUGAGUAAUGUCUGGGAAACUGCCCGAUGGAGGGGGAUAACUACUGGAAACGGUAGCUAAUACCGCAUAACGUCGCAAGACCAAAGCGGGGGACCUCCGGGCCUCGCGCCAUCAGAUGAACCCAUAUGGGAUUAGCUAGUAGGUAAGGUAACGGCUUACCUAGGCGACGAUCCCUAGCUGGUCUGAGAGGAUGAUCAGCCACACUGGGACUGAGACACGGCCCAG
rnacentral:rRNA from 1 species